UGCUGUUAAACAUUGAGUCACAGAUUAGAAUAUAAAGAUGCACACAACAUUCAUGAAUAGAAGAUAAAGAAAGUGAAAACAUGGAGACGAAUAAUACCGUUCUGCACUGGUGUCGACAUGAUGGAAUUUAGUUACAUUGAUGUGUACUUCCUUUUUAUGGGAGGAAAGAUUAAGGAUAGCAAAAUGUUGUUGGCCUCACACCCAGCUCCCAAUCUGGAGUACCACCACUUGUCGGCUGUCUGCGACUGCUAAUUCAAUAUAUUUGUGGCUAACCACCAGAACUGGAUGCUGUUCCUCCAUCCGCAACCUGAGGACGGGCCAUGCUGUGGUGACAGGGACCUACCAUACGAGGUUGCUGAUCCACUUUGGAUUGUCAUAAUGCUCAUACCCAGUGGGAUCAAUCAGACUUCUCUGCUUGAACUGCACUUUGUUAUUUCAAGAUCACUCUUGCUUUCAACACCAAUUUAAUUGAAUUGUUCUUCUUUUAUUAUUGCUUUUAGACAAUUUAGCAUUAUGAUGUGAUUUUGGGGGGGAGACAAUUUUAUAAAGACCUGACUUCCAUAUGGGAAUUUGCCAUGAGAUGUUCAUUAUUUUUAUAUUAAUUAAAUUGUUUACAUUCAGUUGAAAAUUUUGCAGUUUUUCGUUUGCUAGAAAUUAUUACGUCUAAUACUUGUACAACUACAGAGUAAAAUGUUG